GCCUUUCCCGACAUUCGUAAGAGUCCUCUUGAACGACCUCGUUAAUCUCCGCCCCGUUUGUGCAAACUCGUAAAGAGCUAUAAAAGACGGGUAGUUCAGGUCGGGAUACGGAGUCGAACAGUUGAAGUUGGAUCUCGUGAUUGUUUCUGUUUGCUCGCGGGUGAAAUUCAUGGAACAGACGAGAUUCACGAGGUCUUGUGUGGAGGCAUCGUAGAUUAGGCCCGGAUUGAGGGCCCGGUUCGGGUCGACCUGGCCCGACCCGAUACCCGUGGGUACCGCGAGCAUACGGUCCACUUCCUUGAUUGGCUGGUUGGUGUUGUCGAGUGGAUUGGCGGUUGUCAUCAUUGCGGAUUGAAUAGCCGCCGGAGACCAGUCGGGGUGGGCGGAUUUGAGGAGGGCGGCAACUCCGGCGAUGUGUGGGCAAGCCAUUGAUGUGCCGGACAAGAGAGUGUAGUCAGUUGACAGGUAUAAGUUCUUGCCGAUUCUUUCUGUAGGGUUCGCGUGAGGGCUGUAGGCUGCUAAGAUCAGAACUCCCGGUGCCAUAAUAUCGGGCUUUAGUAUGGGUGGGUAGCUUCUUGCGGGGCCCCUCGAGGAGUCGUCGGAGAGUGCCGGAGCGGCGACCGGAGAUUUUGCCCCGAUGAUUGUCUGUUGGAAAACUAUGGUUGCUGUUGGUUCGGCGGUGUUGGAUAUGUAAUCGAUCACGUGUUGUGCUUCUGCGGGUGUGAUUACGACUCCUGGGGCGGGGAAUAGGGUUGAUCGGAAAAUGCGGAUAUCUUCGGAGAUGAUGAUGGCUGCUCCGACGUUUUCUGCCCUCGAUAGAUACCCCAUUGUGGAGUCGAAGUAGGAAUUUUCGAUUGUUAGAUUGCACACGAUUAUGCUGCCGAACCGUGCUGAUGCUAGUAGUUCGUCGGAGUUGCAGGCGGAGAACGUCUCGUUGUAGACGAGGGGGGUGUUUCUGAAUAUGGCUCUCGCCGGAAAAGUGGUCCACCCGGUGAUGGUUUUCCCGUUUCCGAGAGUCAACGUCCCGGCGAACCACCGGUCGACGGUGCCCGACGCGACAACCACUGCCCACGGGAUUCCGGAUCUUAGAGUCGCGAAGGAGGGGCCGCGAUUCCCGGCGGAGAGACAAACGACGAUUCCCUUUUUUCUCGCGCCGAAACUGGCUAUUGAGAGAGCGUUCUCGUACAGAUUAGUGCUGCGGUCGCUUAGAGAAAUGGACAGUAUGUCGACCCCGUCGGCGACGGCCUGGUCGAUUCCGGCGAUUAGGUCGGAGGUGACCCCGCCGUCCCAGAGGACUUUGUACACCGCUAUUCUGGCGCGUGGGGCCACCCCUCUCGCAGUUCCGGCCGCGUAGCCGAAGAACGAAACGCCGUCGACGUAGUUUCCGGCAGCGAUGGAGGCAGUGUGCGUCCCGUGACCGUCUAUGUCUCUAGCAGAAUACAUAGGUAUCGCGACACCUGGAUUCGCCGCUCGAAGUCCUUCACGGAAAUAUCUAGCUCCGAUGAUUUUCCUGUUGCACGACGAGGAAUUGAACUCUUCGCCCUCUUCGCAGAUACCCUUCCACCUUGUAGGUAUUUCCGUCAUUCCGUCGUCCCUAAAGCUCGGACUUUCGGGCCAAAUGCCAGUGUCGAUAACUCCGAUUAUGACAUCUUUGCCGUAGUUGGAAGCCGGCCACAGACCGGUAGCGGAGUUGAGAGAGAGGAAUUUAGACGAAUGGGUGGUGUCUGCCGUGACAACACCAUCUUCAAAAGCCGAAAGGAACCCCUGUGAUUUCUUUACAGCUUCCAGUUCAUCUUCAGACAACACCGCACUGAAUCCAUGGAAGGCAUUGUCGUAAGUGUAGAUAAUCUUCGAUUCGGGUUCGUCGAGUGAUUUAGCAGAUUUGAGCAUGGAAGAAUACCAAUGGUGGUGGCUCGAAAAUGCCUUUGGCAUGGAGAAUUUGUCCAUGUGGACAAUAUAUGUCGAUCUUUCUGCCGACACAUCAUCGGCCAAUAGAAAUAUCGAGACAAGAAUUAGAGGAACCGCCAUAACGAGAAGCUCCAUUAUUUUUUCACUCAGUGGUAGAUGCUUCUAGACCAGUCUGCUAUAUAAUAAAUUUUAUUACAAGGCAGCUACUUACUUUCUUUGCAAUAUUUCUAGUGACUGUAAUAAGGUAGAAGAAACACCGACAAGAGGAUUUAUUGCAAUGGCCCCAUUUCCACCUUCCAAAUCUAGCUACAUGCAAGACUGUGUGUAUUGAAAGCCACACAUUUGAGUAAGUAUAUCUAUAUCUAUAUAGGAUAUGGAUCAGUUUAAAUAUCCCAUAAAUUGAAGGGGUAUGUACCCCCAUGUGCAAGAUACAGAAUAUAUAUUUAUUAGGUGUAUAUUGAAUUCAAACAUCAAGUUGCUCCCCAACUGUAGAUUUAUUUGGAUCCUCAGUAAAAAAACUUUUCACUCAGGCAUUUCAACAUACACCUUUGAGCAACAGUUUUUCGAAUCGUGAUUUAGAAGAAAACAAGUCGACCAAUGAUGGUGGCUGGAGAAUGUUUUGGGCAUGGAGGAUUUGUCCACGUGGACAAAAAUGUGGAUCUUUUUGCUGAAGCAUGUUGAUAUUUAUGAGCCAAUAGAAGCAAUGUGAACAGAAUCAGAGAAGCUACAUUACUGGUAAGCUUCAUUUUUUUGCAAUCUGAAUCUUUGGUGCAUGGAGUUCUAAUUAAUAAGAUGCAAUGGAAAAAAAAAACUACACUAAAAUAAAAAAAAAAAAAAAAAAAAAAAAAAAAAACCGGAACUAGGAGAAAUUAUCAGCUGCUGCCGAAACCAUAAUAGGACUUCUGACGGUGUACUUGCCACUCUGCUCGAUCCAAGUAAGCGAGCCAGCCCUAUGUAGUGUAUCGAUAUCGGCAUUAUAUCGAAUCUUGACAAUGUAGCUCAGUUUCUCGUUCUUCUUUUGGAAAACCAACGUAUGCGGCCGAACUCUAACUGUAGUAUUCGCCGGUACUUCGACCUUUACUCUGUACUUAGCUGCCCCAUCUCCUACAUUCGUCACCGUCCUCUUAAACCUCCGUGUCACAAACCUUCCGAUAUCCGCCGAGUGAGUAAGAGCCACGAAAGACGGAUAGUUCAGAUCGGACGAAGGAUUCGAGCAGUUGUAGUUUGUCGACUUCACAAUCGUUUGAGUUUGCUUGCGUGUGAAGUUCAUGGAGCAAACAAGAUUCACGAGGUCCUGUAUGUUAGCAUCGUAGAUUAGGCCCGGGUUGAGCGCUCGGUUCGGGUCAACCUGCCCCGAUCCGAUGCCUAAAGGUGUGGCAACUGUACCAUUAACUUCCCUGAUUGGCUGAUUCGUGUUAUCAAGAUGAUUAGCAGUUGUCAUCAUCGCGGAUUGAAUAGCCGCCGGGGACCAAUCGGGGUGCGCGGAUUUGAGGAGGGCGGCAACUCCGGAAAUGUGCGGGCAAGCCAUGGAUGUACCCGAUAAGAGAGUGUAAUCGCUCCACAAGUAUAUGUUGUUACCGAUUGUCGGUGUGUCAGUUGCGUAAGGGCUGUAAGCUGCUAAAAUCGAGACACCUGGCGCCAUUAAGUCGGGCUUCAAGAUGCCCUCGUAACUCAUUCCGGGCCCUCUCGAAGAAUCUUGCGAUAGCGCUGGAGCAGCUCUCGUCCCAUCCCCUAAAAUCGUCAGUUGAAAAUCGAUGCUUGCUGUUGAUAGGGAGCCGCCAGCUGCGUAGGCGAUUACCUCUCGUGCUUCGUUUGGUGUGAUCACAACUCCUGGAAAAGGGAAAGAGUUGUAUCGGAAUAUACUUGGAUCUUCGGCGAUUACAAUAACAGCUCGGACGCUAGAAUUUUGUAGAUUUUUCAUCACACUAUCGAAAUCUGUGUUUCCGUUGGUGACAUUGCAUACUAUGAUGCUAUCGUAAGGUGCCUGCGCCAGCUGAGCAGAGUUGCAUGCGGAUAAGCUUUUGCUAUAGAAGACCUGCAAGUUUCUGAUUGUGGCUCGUGCGGGAAAUGUGGUCCACCCCGUGAUGGAUUUGCCGUUGCCGAGAGUCAACUUGCCGCCGAGCCAUCUGUCGACGGUGCCAGAUGCCACCACCACUGCCCAAGGGAUUCCGGUUCGUACGGUACGAACAUCCGGGCCCUCAUUUCCUGCAGAGAGACAAACUACGAUUCCCUUUUCCCUAGCGGCGAAGCUGGCUAUGGAAAGAGGGUUCUCGUAUAGUUCGAACUGGCGGCUGCCUAAAGAAAUCGAGAUUAUAUCAACUCCAUCAGCCACUGCCUGGUCAAUGCCCGCAAGUAUGUCGGACGAAACGCCCCCGUACCACAUGACCUUGUACACCGCCAGCCUGGCGCGUGGGGCCACCCCUCUGGCGAUACCGUUGGCGUAGCCGAAGAAGGAGGCGCCGUGGACAUAAUUACCGGCGGCGAUGGAGGCGACGUGGGUCCCGUGGCCCUCGUCGUCCCUGGCGGAGUUGGUGGGGAUUUCAAUAGACAUAAAUCCCGCUUGGUGCAUCCCUCGGUUGAAGUAUCGUGCCCCGAUGAUUUUCUUGUUGCACAACGACGAGUUGAAUUCCUGGCCCGCCUGGCAGAUGCCCUUCCAUCUCGAGGGUACUUCGGUCAUUCCCUCGUCGCUGAAGCUCCGGCUCUCCGGCCAAAUCCCGGUGUCGAUGACUCCGAUGAUCACGUCUUUGCCGGAGUUGGAAGCCGGCCACAGCCCCGUGGCGGAGUUGAGCGAAAGGAAUUGGGUCGAUCGAGUGGUGUGUGUCGUGAUGACAUCAUCGGCGUAGGAAGAGAUAAAACCCGGCGACUUCUUCAAAGCUUCCAACUCAUCUUCAGACAACACCGCACUGAAUCCAUGGAAGGCAUUGUCGUAAGUGUAGAUAAGCUUCGAUUCGGGUUCGUCGAGUGGUUUCCCGAAACUAAGCAUCGACGAAUACCAAUGAUGGUGGCUCGAAAAGGCCUUCGGCAUGGAGGAUUUGUCCAUGUGGACAAUGUAUGUGGAUCUUUUUGCUGAAGCAUAUUGAUAUUGAUUAACCAAUAGGAGCAAAGAGAACAGAAACAGAGAAACUACAUUAGUAGUAAGCUCCAUUUGUUUUGCAAUCUGAAUCUUGGGUUUUGACAAAUAACUUAGGCAACAACCAUUCUUGUUUUAUAGUGAGAUGAGUCCUAAAAUAAUGGCAAGAAUUGGCGCCAUUUGGAAUUGGUCUCUGCUUUUUGCUCAAACUGCAUUUAUUGAGCUGGGAUUAAAUUAAAUUAAAUUAAAUUAUUAAAUUAUGUUUUUCUUGACUUUCUUGUUCUUCUAAUUUCUGUUUUUUUCUGUAACUUAAAAAAAGGAAAUCAAGUCCAAAGUAAUACUGUGCAGUUAUAAUUCUUGAACCAGUCACAUCCGGAUGAUAUGGCUGAAGUGGUGGAACCACAAAUUUUAAUUAAAAUAGGAUUUUUUAACAGAAAAUAACAAUAAAUAAAUAAAUAUUUAUUUAUUUAUAACGUUUAAUUAAAAUAGCAUAAAUCUUUAGAAAAUUAUACCCUACAGUAAAAGAAAUAAAAACAAUCAAUUUAUUAGCUGCCCAACUAGAUAUUUUUGGAAUAUUUGAAUACUAUGGUCGACAUAUCUUAAUAUAUAAGAUAUUUCGUUAUUUAAUCUAUAGUUAUUCAAUAUUUAUUGACUAGUAAUUGUGUUAGUUCAGGAUUUAGAUUAUGCAACUCAUUUUUAUUUAAUUAAUUAGUAAAAAUAAAUCAAAUAAAGCAAGCUUGCAUUAGUGUUGAAGAAUUUGGAUUUGAGUAGAAUAAUGAAAAGAAAAAUCAAAAUGACUGCCAAUGAUUCCAUAAGUAGGUUAAACAAGAACCAAUGAGCAUCAAAAUCCUCGAGUUCAAAUGCCGUUAUUUUUAUCAGUACAGGUUUUCGUACAUACAUUACUUACAUUGCCGAUGAGUAACGAAACGAUGAACUAACACACUAUUAGCCGAAGUUAUCGACUCCUGCAGAAACCACAAUCGGACUUCUGACAACAUGCUUGCCAUUUUCCUCUACCCAAGUGAGUGAACCAAACGUCGGAAAUGCAUCAAUAUCACCUCUAUAACGAACAUUUAAAGAAUAACUCUGCUUCUCGUAUUUCUUUCGAAACACUAAAGUCUUGGGCGAAAUUCUAACUCUCGUAUUCUCCGUUUUUUCCAGCUUAACUCUGUACGUGGCUGCACCGUUCGCUACGUUCGCACCGUCCUGUGGAAUGUCCGGUUAAAAGUCAACCCUCUUUCGUCGGAGUUAAAAAGUGCAAUGAAAGACGGGUAAUUCAGGUCCGAAGAAGGGCUCGAGCAGUUAUAGCUCGAUCUCGUGAUUGUUUGCGUUUGCUCGCUGGUCAAAUUCAUGGAGCAAACAAGAUCCACAAAGUCUUCUGUGGUCGCAUCAUAUACGAGUCCCGGAUCAAGCGCGCGAUUGGGGUCCACCUGCCCCGAUCCAAUCCCUAGAGGGGUGGCGUUUCUGAAAUCAGUAAAUCCCAAGUCCUUGAUUGGCUGAUUGGUAUUGUCAAGAUGAUUGGCAGUUGUCAUCAUUGCCGAUUGAAUAGCCGAAGGACUCCAAUCGGGGUGCGCUGCUUUGAGAAGCGCAGCAACUCCGGCUAUAUGAGGACAAGCCAUUGAUGUGCCGGAUAAGAGAUUGUAAUCCCUGGACAAGAAUAAGGUCUUACCAAUGAUCGGUGCACUAAUAGUAGUGUAAGGAUUGUACGCUGCUAAGAUUAGCUCUCCCGGUGCCAUUAUGUCGGGCUUCAAUAUGCGGUCGUAGCUUAAUCCGGGCCCUCUAGAUGAGAAAUCCGAUAGGGCUGGAGCAGCUCUCGGCUCAGUCCCUAUAAUCGUCUGUUGAAAGUCAAUGCUCGCUGUUGGAGAGGUACUACUCGAUGCGUAACUGACCACCUCCACCGAUUGUGCCGGCGUUAUUAUAGCACCGGGAAAUUGAAAAUUAUUGGAUCGAAGUAAGCUCUUGUCUUCGGAAAUAAUAAUAACUGCUCGGACAUUGGAAUCCGCCAGAUAGCUCCACAGGAAAAAGAAGAACGGAUCUUCUUCCGUCUUGUUACAGAUGAUUAUGCUGCCGAAUGGUGCUUUCGCCAAUAAUUCGGUUGAGUUGCAGGCAGACAAUGUCUUGUUGUACACAAGGGGCAAGUUUCUGAUUGCUGCUCUUGCGGGAAAAGUGGUCCACCCUGUGAUGGCUUUCCCGUUCCCGAGGGUCACGGACCCACCGAACCACCGAUCAACGGUUCCCGAUGCAACCACCACAGCCCACGGUAUUCCUGCUCGCACAGUAAUGCCGCUAGGGCCGCGAUUUCCUGCGGAGAAACAAACCAAGACCCCCUUCUCACGAGCACCAAAGGCAGCUAUAGCCAUAGGAUUCUCGUACAGACUAGCCCGUCUGAAAGUAAUCGAAAUUGAAAUUAUAUCUACACCGUCAGCCACCGCCUGGUCAAUGCCUGCGAGUACAUCCGAUUCGUAGCCUCCGCCGAAAAGGACUUUAUACGCCGCCAGCCUGGCGCGUGGGGCCACCCCUCUUGCGGUUCCAGGGGCGUAACCAAAGAAGGAUACUCCGUCGACGUAAUUACCGGCGGCAAUGGAGGCAACAUGGGUCCCGUGACCUUGGUCGUCCCUCGCAGUAUCCGGGACAGGGUUUUCAGGGAAUGCGGCUCGAGUACCUUGGUUGAAAUAUCUGACUCCGAUGAGUUUCUUGUUGCACAACGACGAAUUGAAAUCUUGGCCUCCUUGGCAACUGCCUUUCCAUCUUGGGGGUAUUUCCGUCAUGCCUUCAUCCCUAAAGCUCGGACUCUCCGGCCAAAUUCCGGUGUCCAGGAUUCCGAUGAUCACAUCUUUGCCGUAGUUGGAUGCCGGCCACAACCCUGUAGCAGUAUUGAGCGAGAGGAAUUUAUAGGAAUGUGUGGUGUCUGUUGUGACAACACCAUCUUCAAAAGCCGAAAGGAAACCCGGUGACUUCUUUAAAGCUUCCAAUUCGUGUUUGUUCAUCACCACACUGAAUCCAUGGAAGGCAUUGUCGUAAGUGUAGAUAAUCUUCGGUUCAGAUUCGUAGAGUGAUUUAGCAGAAUUGAGCAUGGAAGAAUACCAAUGAUGGUGGCUGGAGAAUGCCUUGGGCAUGGAGGAUUUGUCCAUAUGGACAAUAUAUGUCGAUCUUUCUGCCGAAACAUCACCAGCCAACAGAAAAAUCGAGACAAGAAUUAGAGCAGCUGCCAUAACAAGAAGCUCCAUUAAUUUUUCACUCAGUGGUAGAUGCUUCUAGACCAUUCUGCUAUAUAAUACAUGUUAUUACAAGGCAGCUACUGACUUUCUUUGCAGUAUUUCUAGUGACUGUAAUAAGGUAGAAGAAACACCGACAAGAGUGAAGAUAUUUUAAAUGGUCCAAAAGAUGAGGAUUUAUAGCUAUGGCCCCAUUCCCACCUUCCACAUCUGCCUCUGUCUGUCUGUGUAUCUACAUUGGAUAGGGAUCCGUUUAACAGCCCAUAAACUAAAGGGGUACGUACUCCCAUUUCCAUUUCCAAUAUAUAUAGAUACAUAUUUCGACAAAAAAAUGAUUUCCAUGCAUCAAGUUGCUCAUCUUCCAACUACCUAUUACAGUAAACCUUUCUCUCAGGCAUUUCGACAAACACCUUUCAGCAACUCGAAUUUCAGGAUGAAAUAAUUGCCAUUUUCCUUUUUAACCGAUAAUUGGUGGCCACUUCGAUCAAGUAGAGGGAAAAUUUGGAAGUCCGGUUAUUUAAUUUUGGCAUAUUUUUUGAAAUAAAAUCAAAUAACUAAAAAUAAAUACUCCAUAAUUAAAAAAAUAUAUAUUAGGAUUUGAAAUAUAAUUUUUUAUUUAUCAUUAAUUUUUAAUAUAAUUUUCUUGUGAUUUACAAUUUUUAAUAUUAAAACUACCAAUUAACAAUAACGGUGACAACUGACACGUAUAAAUAAACCUUCAAUUUUCGGGUCAAUUAGCCCGGUUUAUUUAUUGUGCACGUGCACAUAGCCCACAUACAGAUCGUUAAAACCCGACCGAAACAGCGGUUCCCGGAAACUGCGUGCUCUUCGCUCCUCCGAUUUUCAUUCUGACCGGCUUCUCUUUUGUAACGGUACGCCAUUUUCGUGAUUCUGUUUUCUUCAAGGAAAAUAUUUGUGUCUUCUUCUCUUUUGGUUGUGUUUCGCUGAGCUUCUUCAUUGCAUUUUCGCCUGAAUAUUAGUGUAAUAUCCAGAACUGAUUCAUGAUUUGGAAAGAAAUUAGGGUUUUUUUGUAAGCGAAUUUUUAUUUCUUAAAAAGUGCAUUAGGUUAUGAAAUUAAUCUACUAAAUUUUUUGAUGCUGGACAUUUACUUGCUAGUGUUCAUUUCUACUGCACAACACUUUUCCUAUCCUGAGUCCUGACCUAGCCAAUUUGAAUAAAUAACUUUGAAAUAUGGAUGAUUUGGUUUAAAAUUAAGAUAUUGGUUUAAGAAAGAUAAAUAAGGUAUUUAUGCAAGUUUUAUUAUUUAUUAUUAUUCAGAGGUUUCCAAGAUGGACUUAUAUCAUCACCAGUGACGGAUGAACUAACAUAGAAUUAGCCGAAAUUAUCAGCUCCUCCAGAAACCACAAUGGGGCUCCUGACCUUGUGCUUGCCAGUUUCCUCGACCCAAGUGAGUGAACCAAAUGUCGGAAAUGAAUCAAUAUCGCCCCUGUAACGAAUGUUUAAGGAAUAACUCUGCUUCUCGUAUUUCUUUUGAAACACUAAUGUCUUUGGCUGAAUUCUAACUCUGGUAUUCGCAGGUUUUUCCAGCUUAACUUUAUACGUGGCUGCACCAUCUGCUACAUUCGUCACCGUCCUGUGGAAUGUCCGGUUAAACGUCAUCCCUCUUUCGUCAAAGUUAAAAAGAGCAAUGAAAGACGGGUAGUUCAGGUCGGAGGAUGGGCUCGAGCAGUUGUAGGUUGAUCUCGUGAUUGUUUGAGUUUGCUCGCGGGUCAAAUUCAUCGAGCAAACAAGAUUCACAAAGUCUUGUGGAGUAGCAUCGUAGACUAGGCCUGGAUCGAGCGCGCGAUUAGGAUCCACAUGCCCUGAUCCAAUGCCUAGAGGCGUGGCGUUACUGUAAUUAAACGCCAUAUCCUUGAUUGGCUGAUUGGUAUUAUCAAGAUGAUUGGCAGUGGUCAUCAUGGCCGAUUGAAUAGCCGAAGGACUCCAAUCGGGGUGUGCUGCUUUGAGAAGCGCAGCAACUCCGGCAAUAUGAGGGCAAGCCAUGGAUGUGCCUGACAAGAGAUUGUAAUCACUCGACAAGAACACGUUCUUACCGAUAACCGGUGCACUAUUAAUACUGUAAGGACUGUUCGCUGCUAAGAUCAGCACUCCUGGUGCCAUUAUGUCGGGCUUCAAUAUCCGGUCAUAGCUUAGUGCAGGCCCUCUAGAUGACGAACCUGAUAGGGCUGGAGCAGCUCUCGGCUCAGUCCCUAUAAUCGUUUGCUGAAAAUCGAUGCUUGCUGUUGGAGAGGUACUACUCGAUGCGUACCUGACCACCUCCACUGAUUGAGCUGGAGUGAUUAUAGCACCGGGAAAUUGAAAAUUAUUGGAUCGAAGUAAGCUUGUGUCAUCGGAAAUAACAAUAACUGCUUGGACAUUGGAAUCCGCCAGAUAGUUCCACAGGAAAAAGAAGAACGGAUCUUCCUCCGUCUUGUUACAGAUGAUUAUGCUGUUGAAUGGUGCUUCCGCCAAUAAUUCGGUUGAGUUGCAGGCAGACAAUGUCUCGUUGUACACAAGGGGCAAGUUUCUGAUAGCUGCUCUUGCGGGAAAAGUGGUCCACCCUGUGAUGGAUUUCCCGUUCCCGAGGGUCACGGUCCCACCGAACCACCGAUCAACAGUCCCCGAUGCAACUUCGACAGCCCACGGCAUUCCUCCUCGCACAGUAGCACCGCUAGGGCCGCCAUUUCCUGCGGCGAAACAAACCAAGACCCCAUGCUCACGAGCACCAAAGGCAGCUACAGCAAUAGGGUUCUCGUAGAGACUGGCCCGCCGAAAAGUAAUCGAAAUUGAGACUAUAUCGACACCGUCAGCCACAGCUUGGUCGAUUCCCGCGAGUACAUCCGAUUCGUAACCUCCGCCGAACAGGACUUUAUACGCCGCCAGCCUGGCACGUGGGGCCACCCCUCGUGCAGUUCCAGGUGCGUAACCGAAGAACGAGACACCCUCGACGUAGUUUCCGGCGGCAGUUGAGGCGACGUGGGUCCCGUGACCAUCGUCGUCCCUUGCUGAAUCGGGGACAGGGGUUUCAGGAAAUGCGGCUCGAGUACCUUGGUUGAAAUAUCUGACUCCGAUGAGUUUCUUGUUGCACAAAGACGAAUUGAAAUCUUGGCCGCCUUGGCAAGUGCCCUUCCACUUUGCUGGGAUAGCGGUCAUGCCUUCAUCACUAAAGCUCGGACUUUCCGGCCAAAUUCCGCCGUCUAAGAUUCCGAUUAUCACAUCUUUGCCGUAGUUGGAUGCCGGCCACAAUCCCGAAGCAGUGUUGAGUGAGAGGAAUUUAUAGGAAUGGGUAGUGGCUGCUGUGACGGCUCCAUCUUCAAAAGCCGAAAGGAAACCCGGUGACUUCUUCAAAGCUUCCAAUUCGUGUUUGUUCAUCACCACACUGAAUCCAUGGAAGGCAUUGUCGUAAGUGUAGAUAAUCUUCAACCCGCGUUCGUCGAGUGAUUUAGCAGAAUUGAGCAUGGAAGAAUACCAAUGAUGGUGGCUCGAAAAUGCCUUUGGCAUGGAGGAUUUGUCCAUGUGGACAAUAUAUGUCGAUCUUUCUGCCGAAACAUCAUCGGCCAAUAGAAAAAUCGAGACAAGAAUUAGAGCAACUGCCAUAAGAGGAAGCAGCUCCAUUGUUUUUUCACUAAUUAGAUCUGAGUUGUGAAUAUGGUAGAUUGGUUUAGACAAGUAGUUAUUAGUACCAUUCUGUUAUAUAAAGAUAUUUGCUGACUUUUCUUUGCUUUUGCCAACCAAUUAUUAUACUUUUUUUUGUUUUUAAAUUCAGUAUAUGUUGCUGUCAUCUUGCCAGCGCAAGUUGAUAAUAUUACAGGAUAAUGCAAAGGGGAUAAAGAAAAAUCCUUGUAUCAUUUUCAAUUACUGUAUGUACCACGUACAUGAUUGGUUUGUAUAGGUGCAUUAGAUUUUAUUUGGACCAUGCAUAUUUCCAAGUACCUAUUACUGUAAAACCUCUCUCUCAGACAUUUCAACAUACACCUUUCAGCAGCAGUGGCUUGAAUUGACUACGAAAUAAUCGCAACAUUCAUCUCUAAAUACAUGUUCGUCUUACACGUAAAUGCGAAUCCUUGAAACAUUUGUCGUUCCAUCAUCAAUCAAGUUUAGCUUAAACUUUAUUUAACCAAUAAGAACUUCACUUUUUAGCGAAGUACCCCUAAAAACUCACUUCUAACAGCGCAAUUUGUUUUCAUUUUUUUUUUUUUUUAAUUUGAAGAAAGUGAAAUAUACAUUUCGUUGGAAUCGAAGUAAGUGAAGAAGAGUGUCAGGUUCUUCAAAAAAUCGCGAGUUCAUUAUAGCGUGAUUCUUUGAUUCUGUAGAAGCGCUGUUGUUUAUCGAUUCUGGGUUCCAACAUUAAUCUUGCAGCACACACGAUAUGCUAAUGUUCGUGCCAUCUGGUAUUUGCAUUUCUGUUUCUCAAGAUUCAUGCACUCAAGAUGUUUGAUUUUUGUCCCAAAAGAACUCCUCUCAAGUCUCAAUCUUUCUCCUCCUUUUUUUUUGUCUUUCCAAUUCACCUUAUGUCCAUUAGUUACGUUAACAAAUCCAUUUUUCUUGUUCCAGCAGACUCUACUCAGUAAAUAUCUUUCUUUUUUUUUCUUUUGAAGUUACUAAGCAAGCAUGCCAUUUUUCUACGUUAGCCAGGAAUUCAAACAAUGUCACGUUGUAUCUCCAAAGGCCAAAGCUGAUUGAUUCAAUGAAGCUGUGUACCCGUUUAAAUGCACCCGAAAGCUCUCCUGUUAACAUCUUUAACAAUCCUUCAAUGGACUCGUUUGUUGUGAUCAAUGCACUUCGGUCAGCUCCCUCGCCCAUCGCAGCCCUCUGUUUGAUCGAAAAUCUAAAAAAGAUAAAAGAUUUUCCUCAUUCCGAAGACACCCUCUAUGCACUGGCCAAGAUUCUUGCUAAAUCCGGAAAAACUAGUAAACUCAGAGCAUUGAUCGAUGCCAUCAAUAAUAGUGGCAAGUUUGUAAAUGUGGCGUAUGUCAGUUUCUUGGAUCGGGUGAAGUGGAAUGCAGGGUGUUUGGGAAGAGUGGAGAAGAGCCUUGGACAAGCUCCCAUGUAACUGCAUCCUAUAAUAUAGUAAUGAAACUUUGUGUUGAGAAGGGCAUGGAAGAAAUGGCAAUAAAUGUAUUCUGCAGGAUGAUCGAUGGAUGGGAGCUCUCGAAUUGUAGAAUCUACAUUAUUAUUAUCCAGCACCUGAUUAAGUUUGAGAAAUUAUAUUCGGCUAUGAAACUAUUUCAAAUGCUACCAUUGAUGCGAUUUCGUCGUACAUCAAAGAAGUAUUAUUCAUUGGUCGAAGUUUUUACAGACUCCGACAAUGUAAAUGUUGCGAAGACUUUACUUAACGAGAUGCGAGCUGACUGGACAUUAAAACAUUCUCCCACUAUGCAAUGCCAUUAUUAUUAUUAAUUUUAGAGGUUUCCAAAGAUCGACUUAUAUCAUGACUAGCGAGUAGCGAGUAGCGACAGAUGAGCUAACAUAGAAUUAACCGAAAUUAUCAACUCCUCCAGAAACCACGAUGGGGCUCCUGACCACGUGCUUGCCAGUUUCCUCAACCCAAGUGAGUGAACCAUGCCUCGGAAAUGCAUUAUUAUCACCCCUGUAACGGAUGUUUAAGGAAUAACUUUGCUUCUCGUAUUUCUUUUGAAACACUAAUGUCUUUGGCUGAAUUCUAACUCUGGUAUUCGCAGGUUUUUCCAGCUUAACUUUAUACGUGGCUGCACCAUCUGCUACAUUCGUCACCGUCCUGUGGAAUGUCCGGUUAAACGUCAUCCCUAUUUCGUCGUUGUUAAAAAGAGCAAUGAAAGACGGGUAAUUCAGGUCGGAGGAUGGGCUCGAGCAGUUAUAGCUUGUUCUGGUGAUUGUUUGAGUUUGCUCCCGAGUGAAAUUCCUGGAGCAAACAAGAUUCACAAAGUCUUGUGGGGAUGCAUCGUAGACUAGGCCUGGAUCAAGCGCGCGAUUGGGAUCCACCUGCCCCGAUCCAAUGCCUAGAGGCGUGGCGUUUCUGUAAUUAGAUGCCGAGUCCUUGAUUGGCUGAUUGGUACUAUCAAGAUGAUUGGCAGUGGUC
rnacentral:lncRNA from 1 species